rnacentral:tRNA from 1 species
UCCUUCGUGGUGUAAUUGGAAGCAUAUUCGAUGCGUAUUCGAGAGGUCACAGGUUCAAGUCCUGGCGAGGGCA